UGGGAGGUAUAGGUGUUGUGCUGCUGAAAAACAGACUUGACCCAAAGUUGUGCACUGAUUUACUUCUUUGUUGUUGAGCCAGGUGUGAGAAGUAGAAGAUGCCACUUAAAUCUCUCAGCCUGAUCUAAAGUAAUUGUGUAUGUAAUGGAGAAAAAAGCAACUUCUGAAGACCUUCGUGUUUUUUUUCCUCGCUGUCUCGAGAACAGUUGGACCUAUUUCCCCCUCCCAGUCAUUUGUGUGCUGCAGUAUCAUUGGUGAGGUGAAACAAGGGGUUCCUGUGAAGAAUUUGCUGCAAACAAAGAUACAUGUGAACUUUCUGCAUGACGACUCCUGUACUGGAUUAUAUAAUAUUGGGACUUCUGACUCUGUUCUGAUCCUUAAAAAUGAUUGGGUUUGUGUAUGAGAUUUAACCCACUUCUGAUGAGUGAUCUAGACAUGAGUUUACAUCGGCAAAUGGGCUCCGAUCGGGACCUGCAGUCUUCGGCUUCCUCUGUGAGUUUGCCUUCAGUCAAAAAGGCACCAAAGAAAAGAAGAAUUUCCUUGGGCUCUCUUUUUCGGAGAAAAAAAGACACAAAACGCAAGUCUAGGGAUCUGAAUGGAGGUGUCGAUGGAAU
rnacentral:lncRNA from 1 species